GACGAACGCUGGCGGCGUGCUUAAUACAUGCAAGUCGAACGGAAAGGCGCGGCGUUUGUGGGGUUCUCGAGUGGCGAAGGGGGGAGUAAAACGUGAGUAAACUGCACUUGACUUUGUGGUAUCUUUAGGAAACUGGGGCUAUUAUCGGGGAGGAGCUACUGCUGCGUGGGGGGGGUUGGAAAGUGUCGGCGGUUGGGGAUGGACUCGCGGCUUAUGAGCUUGUUGGGGAGGUAGUGGCUUACGAAGGCUUUGACGGGUAGCCGGCAUGAGAGGUUGGCCGGCCACAUUGCGACUACGAGACGGCCCAGACGGCAACGGGAGGCAGCAGUGGGGAGUAUGGCACAAUGGGCGGAAGCCUGAUGCAGCAACGUUGCGUGCGGGAUGACCGCCUACGGGUUGUGAACCAAUUUCGCCUGUGCCGUACCGUGAGUGACGGUACUGGGUAAAGAAGCACCGGCUAACUACGUG
rnacentral:rRNA from 1 species